GCUGGGCAUGGUAGCCCACGCCUGUAAUCCCAGGGACGGGGAGGCUAAGGCAGGAGGAUCACGAGUUCAAAGUCAGCUUCAGCAACUUAGAGAGGCCUUAAGCAACUUAACAAGAUCCUGUCUCUA
rnacentral:sRNA from 1 species